rnacentral:rRNA from 1 species
GACGAACGCUGGCGGCGUGCUUAACACAUGCAAGUCGAACGGAAAGGCCCUGCUUUUGUGGGUUUCUCGAGUGGCGAACGGGUGAGUAACACGUGAGUAACCUGCCCUUGACUUUGGGAUAACUUCAGGAAACUGGGGCUAAUACCGGAUAGGAGCUCCUGCUGCAUGGUGGGGGUUGGAAAGUUUCGGCGGUUGGGGAUGGACUCGCGGCUUAUCAGCUUGUUGGUGGGGUAGUGGCUUACCAAGGCUUUGACGGGUAGCCGGCAUGAGAGGGUGACCGGCCACAUUGGGACUGCGAUACGGACCAGACUCCUACGGGAGGCAGCAGUGGGGAAUAUUGCACAAUGGGGGGAAGCCUGAUGCAGCAACGCCGCGUGCGGGAUGCCGGCCUUCGGGUUGUAAACAGAUUUCGCCUGUGACGAAGCGUGAGUGACGGUAAUGGGUAAAGAAGCACCGGCUAACUACGUG